rnacentral:miRNA from 1 species
CUGAAAACUUAAUCGAUUGGUC